rnacentral:rRNA from 1 species
GACGAGUCUCACGAGCGUUAUUCGGAAUUACUGGGCUUAAAGGGUGCGUAGGCGGUGGAGUAAGUCGGAUGUGAAAUACCAUAGCUUAACUAUGGAACUGCACUCGAUACUACUUUGCUAGAGUAAGACAGAGGUGAGUGGAACUGAGGGUGGAGCGGUGAAAUGCGUUGAUAUCCUCAGGAACACCGGUGGCGAAGGCGGGUUGCUGGGCCGACACUGACGCUGAUGCGCGAAAGCCAGGGGAGCGAACGGG